UAGCAGUGAGGACACCCAGAGGCCACUCUCAUCACCAUCUUGGUUUUGCAGGUUCCAUAACAUCUUUGGGCCUUGAUGUCUUCAUUUGAAAACUGAGGAAGAAGCUGAAUCUGAGAGAAAUGGAGUUUUUCAUUCACAGCCACAGGAAACUGAACCAGAGAAAUUGAGUGAUAUGCUCAAAGUCUACACAAGGGAGCCAAGAUUCAAACUCAGGUUGUUCUGAGCAGAAAUCUGAUGCAAUUUUCACUACCAUAUCCCAACUCUCUGGUUCCGUAUCAGAUCAGUUGCCUAUAUAUUAUUUGACUCUGUAUCAGUAACAUCUGUCUAGUGCCCUUGGCCAACCAGGUUGAGGACUCAGAAUCCAGUUGAUCAGGUUUGUUUCAGAUCCUAGUAACUGUGUGAACCUAGCAAAAUUAGGCUGGCUGAAUGGCUCUACUUGGUGCAAAAACCAGGAUAAAGUUGUCUAAAAACAACUGUUUUCAAUGCAACUUACCUGCAAAAAUUUUGAUAUAGUUUCAGGCUAUAAAUGCCUGGA